AGACAAACUAACUGCAGAUAAAUAAGCCUUCAAACCCAAACCAACACGAUGAAGUUACUGCUAAUGCUCAUCCUCCUACUUAUAUCAGAUUGUGAGUCAGAAACGAAGAGAUUCACAUCAGAAUGGACCGAAUUCACCUGCAACUGUCAAAAAACACCUGGAAAAUGUCAAAUGGUCCAUGUAGCUGAUCGUAGCUCAAAAACUGAAAAAAAGACUCUCAGAGUAAUCCUCAAACAAGAUGAGAACAAGGACCCCAAAAAGAAUGAUGACAAAAAAGAACUGCAAUUUAAACUUGAAGAAAAUGGCUGUCCAAAGCAAUUCAAUCAAACUGCAUACAAAACAGCUAAAACCACCAUCAGAUGCGAUCAUCCUGAAAAUAAA